AUUGAACGCUGGCGGCAGGCCUAACACAUGCAAGUCGAACGGUAGCACAGAGAGCUUGCUCUCGGGUGACGAGUGGCGGACGGGUGAGUAACGUCUGGGAAACUGCCCGAUGGAGGGGGAUAACUACUGGAAACGGUAGCUAAUACCGCAUAACGUCGCAAGACCAAAGUGGGGGACCUUCGGGCCUCACACCAUCGGAUGUGCCCAGAUGGGAUUAGCUAGUAGGUGGGGUAAUGGCUCACCUAGGCGACGAUCCCUAGCUGGUCUGAGAGGUUGCCCGGCCACACUGGAACUGAGACACGGUCCAGACUCGUCCGGGAGGCAGCAGUGGGGAAUAUUGCACAAUGGGCGCAAGCCUGAUGCAGCCAUGCCGCGUGUAUGAAGAAGGCCUUCGGGUUGUAAAGUACUUUCAGCGGGGAGGAAGGCGGUGAAGUUAAUAGCUUCACCGAUUGACGUUACCCGCAGAAGAAGCACCGGCUAACUCCGUGCCAGCCGCCGCCGUAA
rnacentral:rRNA from 1 species